CCGCGCGCGCGGACCCGGAUCAGGAAACGUGCGGGGGCGUGAUGGAUGCCGCUAUCCACCCGGGCGGGAGGAGCGAGCAGGGGCUUGGGUUCUUCAGCCCCCCAACUUGGAUUCCGGCUGAGAAAUCGAGGCAGAAUUUGUACAGCAUUUCAUUUACGAUUUGGAACUUCCCAUAUUGCAGUUGAUGGAGGGGCAGACGAGAGCUAAACAUGCCUCCUUUACCAGGCGCUGUUGUGAGACCUCCACCCUAGAAUGGGGAUGCACAAAACCCGGCUUGAAUCCAGUAACUUCGCAUUACAGAACAAACUCCAAACAAAAACAAGCUUGAGAUAGAAUAAGACCCUUGCGGGGUCUGAUCGUCCAUCGGCCUUUUCUAACCUUUUUUUUUUUCCUCCUCCUCCUUUUGGAUGCUGUUUUCUCAGGCUGUAUCAGCGGCGAGGGCUAUAUUUACAGGACAGCCUGUAAUCCCUGAAUUGCUGAAAAUUAGCAUAUUAACGAUAUCAGUAGCUCCGGAAAGGAGAGAGAGGGGACUGUUGUCUGCCAUUUGGUAAUUGAAAUUUGAUGGGUAAACUAAUUAUGCCAUUAUUAACAAAUAAAUUACUUAUUAAUUCCA